rnacentral:rRNA from 1 species
UACGAAGGGGGCUAGCGUUGCUCGGAAUUACUGGGCGUAAAGGGCGCGUAGGCGGAUAUUUAAGUUGGGGGUGAAAUCCCGGGGCUCAACCUCGGAAUUGCCUUCAAAACUGGAUAUCUUGAGUUCGGGAGAGGUGAGUGGAACUCCGAGUGUAGAGGUGAAAUUCGUAGAUAUUCGGAAGAACACCAGUGGCGAAGGCGACUCACUGGCCCGAUACUGACGCUGAGGCGCGAAAGCGUGGGGAGCAAACAGGAUUGAGAUACCCGUGGU